rnacentral:sRNA from 1 species
UACAGGUGAAAUAAUUUUGGUAAUAUUC